rnacentral:lncRNA from 1 species
AUGCAUAAAUACUUGAAUGAUAAACAACUGUUUAACAUUUUACAUACAUUAUAUUUCCAUAUAUGUAAAAAAGACAUAGUAUUAAAAAAUUAUGAAAAAAAUGUAAUACGAUUAAAAAAAACUGAACCUGUAUUAAUUAACAGUGUCGAUAAUAACAAACAAAGAAUGGAUAAGAAUAAUGAAGAUAAUAUAAAAAAUUCUUUUUUAGUGAAUGGUAUGAUAAUAAGCUACGAUAAAUAUUACGACCUGUACCAUAUGUAUGAAAAUGUACAAAAUGUUAGUUUGUAUUCAAUUUUUAUUAACAAAUUAAGAAGGAAAAUAAAAACGAUUGAAACAUUAAAAAGAUUAAACAAUUGCAUAAAAAAUUAUAUAAUAAAUUUAAAAAAUAUACCUAUUUAUUUUUUUUUGGAUGAUUUUCUUGAUACCCCUUGUUAUAUAUAUAAUACAGUUAUAAGUAAUAUACUACGAUAUUAUUAUAAUGGUAUAUUUCUUUAUCUUAUAAUAUUUAUCGGUUGUAUUCAUGUUUUUUUUUCCCCAUUCCCAAUUACGUUAGUACACUUUCGUCGGUUUUUUAUAUAUUUUGUUAUUAUUAUGUAUAGGGUAUUUAUUUGGUAUUUUAUACCAUCAAUAAUUCAAUAUAUUAUAUAUAAAUGUCAUUAUUUCAAAGAAGAAAAAGAAUAUAAACAUAUUUUUGAUUAUUCAGAUCAUGUUAUUUUGUUUGCCACAUUAUUAUUUAUUAUUACUCUUGAAGCAAAAGCAAUUAAACAUACAAUAAAACACCAGUCAAGUAGUUCAGAAAAUUUCCAUUAUAAAUAUAAUAAAAAAGUAUGUUCUUUUUUUUUAACAAUUAUAUUAUAUUAUUAUUACAUGCUUAUAUCUUUAUUUUUAUAUACUAGUUAUUAUACAGCCAAAUAUUUUCAUACAACUAAUGAAAUUUUUGUUGCAUACUUUUUUUUCAACAUUUUCCAUUUUCUUUUUAUUCUAUUAUUUUUUAUAUCGAAAUUAUUUUAG